UGCCACGGGGUAACAGUGGUAACAUUUAUUGGCAGCCUGAAUUCGUUGUCGGGGAAGCAUUUCGAACAAAGAUUUUACAUACUAUAUCCAACAAAACCGAAUAAAAAAGUGAUCGGAUUACUGGAGAAUAUUCACUGAAUAUUGUCAGCAAUCGAGGAGGGGCUGACUAUUUCGAGGUGGAUGUCAACAAAGGCAAUUACCUGGUGUCACCUGCCGGAAUUAAAAAGAAACGAUUCGCUACCUUUUUAUAUGCUUCGACGAUGAGCUUUUUUAUCAAAAAAUUGCGUGCUGGAUUUACAAUUAAUGGGCAAAAAUGGGAUGAAGUCAUAAUUGCGAAGCCUCCAGCCGGUAAACCAUGAGCCGAGAAAUUCCUCAACUUUUAGCAUCGGGGCUCUAUACCUACACCGCGAUAUGAAUCAGCAGCUACAACGCCAGAAGGUUGUGUACCAGGAGUGGCCGAUAAUUACAGACCGUUUGCGUUGCACUGCAGGGACGAUUUUCCAACA
rnacentral:lncRNA from 1 species